rnacentral:rRNA from 1 species
AUUGAACGCUGGCGGCAUGCCUUACACAUGCAAGUCGAACGGCAGCACGGGAGCAAUCCUGGUGGCGAGUGGCGAACGGGUGAGUAAUAUAUCGGAACGUGCCCAGUCGUGGGGGAUAACGCAGCGAAAGCUGUGCUAAUACCGCAUACGAUCUACGGAUGAAAGCGGGGGAUCGCAAGACCUCGCGCGAUUGGAGCGGCCGAUAUCAGAUUAGCUAGUUGGUGAGGUAAAGGCUCACCAAGGCGACGAUCUGUAGCUGGUCUGAGAGGACGACCAGCCACACUGGAACUGAGACACGGUCCAGACUCCUACGGGAGGCAGCAGUGGGGAAUUUUGGACAAUGGGCGCAAGCCUGAUCCAGCAAUGCCGCGUGCAGGAUGAAGGCCUUCGGGUUGUAAACUGCUUUUGUACGGAGCGAAACGGUCUUUCCUAAUACGAGAGGCUAAUGACGGUACCGUAAGAAUAAGCACCGGCUAACUACGUGCCAGCAGCCGCGGUAAGAC